rnacentral:rRNA from 1 species
UACGUAGGGUGCAAGCGUUGUCCGGAAUUAUUGGGCGUAAAGAGCGUGUAGGCGGCCCGAUUAGUCCGCUGUGAAAGUCCAGGGCUCAACCCUGGAAUGCCGGUGGAUACUGUCGGGCUAGAGUCCGGAAGGGGCGAGUGGAAUUCCUGGUGUAGCGGUGAAAUGCGCAGAUAUCAGGAAGAACACCCGUGGCGAAAGCGGCUCUCUGGAACGGUACUGACGCUGAGACGCGAAAGCGUGGGGAGCGAACAGG